GCCGAGACUAGAGUCACAUCUGGAUGCUGCCUGUUGUCCUGGUGUGCUAGAGUACUCGGACAGAAACCACUAAUCUAUAUUCACUGGCUGUGACGGUUCUUGACUCAGUCAGUCACCAGGUUAGUGACAGGA
rfam:Gavia stellata contig101070, whole genome shotgun sequence.